rnacentral:ncRNA from 1 species
CGGAAAUAGAGCAGCAAGUCGGUAGCUCCUGCGCCCGUUACCACGGGUUCUUCCCAGCCACGG